UAGAGUUUCAAAUUUUACAGAUGC
rnacentral:siRNA from 1 species